rnacentral:rRNA from 1 species
CCUACGGGGGGCAGCAGUGGGGGAUAUUGCACAAUGGGGGAAACCCUGAUGCAGCGACGCCGCGUGAGUGAAGAAGGAUUUCGGUAUGUAAAGCUCUAUCAGCAGGGAAGAAAAUGACAGUACCUGACCAAGAAGCCCCGGCUAACGACGUGCCAGCAGCCGCGGUAAUACGUAGGGGGCAAGCGUUAUCCGGAUUUACUGGGUGUAAAGGGAGCGUAGACGGUUAUGGACGCCUGGAGUGAAAGCCCGGGGCCCAACCCCGGGACUGCUUUUGAAACUGUGGACCUGGAGUCCCGGAGGGGCAGGCGGAAUUCCUGUUGUAGCGGUGACAUGCGUCGAUAUCAGGAGGAACACCGGCGGCGAAGGCGGCCUGCUGGACUGUACCUGACGUUGAGGCUCGAACGCGUGGGGAGCAAACAGGAUUAGAUACCCGUGUAGUC